AUAGCCGGAUUCGGAAUCGACAUGGCGCGCGGGUGACGUCACAGCGGAGAACAAGAGGUCGCCAAACUCUUAUCAAUCAUCAGCUCUUCUCGACAAGACAAGACAAGACAAGACAAGACAAGACAAGACAAGACAAGACAAGAGAUGUUGGUAAACUUAUGCUGCCAAGUUUACUAUCGAAAA